CACACUACAGAUAGUAGAAAGGGAUUCUGGGCAAACAGUGCCUUGCUUAAAAAGAAGUAAUUAACUAACACGGACAGGUCUAGAGUUUGACAAGAAUGCUGGGGACAUUUCUGUGCAUAGAAACAAUGCUGUUGCUUAAUUUCUAACAUGUAAAAUUAACGUGAAAUAAAUAUUCCAUUUAACUCCAGCAUGUAAUUUCUUAUUGUUCAUUGUCAUGUCUUUUCAAACCAUCACUGACCAAGUCUUUCUCUUUGAAGGUCUCUGUUUGAUCAUCGCCAGCCUGGUUUCUUGUGACCAGGCAAACAAACCUGGUUACCAAUCUGGUGCAUCUGGUUACCAAUCUGGUGCAUCCAGUGGAAAUUUCUGUAAUGGAAAGGGCAAUGGGCUUUACGCCUACCCACCUGACCCACAGCGUUUCUACCAGUGUUCCAAUGGGAACACCUUCAUCCUGACCUGCCCAGCAUCUCUGGUCUUCAGCGCAAUCUCCGGAGUCUGUGACUGGCCCAGUGCCACGGGAACUUUCUGCAUUGGAAAGGUGGAUGGGAAUUACGUCAACCCAAGUAACCCCAAUAGUUUUUACAUGUGUAGCAACGGCAGGACCGUCGUCCAAGACUGCCAAAAAGGUUUGAUCUACAAAUUGAGCUGCAACUGCUGUAACUAUCCCUAAAGUGUUGCACAUGACCAUUUUCCAAGCCCUCAUAGGCCUUUCCUACUUCUCAUGAUUCUUUAUGGUUAUGUUACAAAAAAAAAAGUUAGCAAUGGCUCUGCUUCAAGAUUUGUCAAAUCAAUUUGAAAACCCAAUUUUCCCCGACUAUCUGAAUGAUGGAAACGUACUGAACAUGUCUUCGUUCUGUUCUCAGCCAUGAUUCGACCUGCCUUGUCUUACUUAUUAAUAGGAUUGCUGCAUAAACAUUGUCAUUGGUAGUGAUCCUAUUAUAUGGUUUUGAUCUGUUCUCUAGUUGCUUCAUACGUAGCCCUUGCAUCGCUGUAUUUCCUCCACAUUAUGAUGCACUUAUUGUAUGUUGCACUAAGUGCUUAUAUAUUUUAAAUCUAACCUCAAUCUCUACUGAUUUGUAUACAUGCAUGAAUAAAUGAAUCAGAAUAAAAGACAAAUUCAAAGCGACCA
rnacentral:lncRNA from 1 species